UUUUUUUGUUUUUUUUUGACAAAGUCACAGUUUAGAAAUCAUCAGGAUACAAGACAGGCCUUGUAGUGAAUUCCCCCUAACAGACAGAAAAGAAUUCACACAAAGGAAAAUCUCAGUGAAUGUAAUUUGUAUGGGAAAAGAUUUUGCCUGAAGUCAUACCUCAAGACAUUAGAGAACUUAUAUCAAGAAGAAGACCUAUAAAUAUACAGUUCUCCUCAGGUAUUGAAGAUUUUCUUGAGGAUCCCCUAUUGAUAUAAAAAUUUGCUGAUGCUCAAGUCCCUUGUAUAAAUGGUGUAGUGUUUGUGUAUUACCAAUUCACUUCCUGCUGUGUACUUUACGUCUUGUGUAGAUUACUUAUAAUAAUGGAAAAAAUGUGAAUACUAUGUAAAUAGAUGUUAUACUGUGUUGUUUUUCAGUUGUAGAAUUGUUUCAUUUAUUUACAUUUUUAUUUUUGAGGAUUUUUGAUAAGUAGUUGCUUGAAUCACCAGAAUUUUUACCAUCAGAUAUGGAGGGAUGACAGUAUUGAGUCUGAAAACAUCUUUUCUCAGAAGUCUCAAGGCUGGCUAUGGUUACAGUAUUGUUACUUAUAGCAUUGUGCUCAUAACACAAAGGAUCCCUAUACAAGCUACAUACAAAAAAAAUAAAUAAACAAAUAAAAAAGGAAUCACAUCAUAGCAGGCAUUAGGGAAUUUACAGAGGGGAGAAAUUCUGUACGGAUUGGACUGUGUCUUUUUAAAAUAAAACCACACUUUUCUCUUGUAUGCAUAGCAUGCAA